AUUGAACGCUGGCGGCAUGCUUUACACAUGCAAGUCGAACGGCAGCGCGGGCUUCGUCCUGGCGGCGCGUGGCGAACGGGUGAGUAAUACAUCGGAACGUGCCCAGUAUGGGUGUAUAGCUCGUCGAAAGCCGGAUUAAUACCGCAUGCGACCUGAUGGUGAAAGCGGGGGAUCUUCGGACCUCGCGCUAUUGGAGCGGCCGAUGGCAGCUUUGCUAGCUGGUUGGGUAAAGGCCUACCAAGGCGACGUUCUGCCGCUGGUCUGAGAGGACGACCAGCCACACUGGAACUGGGACCCGGACCAGACUCCUACGGGAGGGAGCAGUGGGGAAUAUUGGACAAGGGGCGGAAGCCUGAUACAGGCAGGCCACGCGUGAGACGAAGACGUUCGGGUUGUAAAGCACUCUUGGUGGGAAUAAAACGGACUGGGCCAAUACAACGGUUGGAUGACGGUACCGGGAGAAUAAGCACCGGCUAACUACGUG
rnacentral:rRNA from 1 species